UACGUAGGAUCCAAGCGUUGUCCGGAUUUACUGGGUGUAAAGGGUGCGUAGGCGGACUCGUGCGUUAGGGGUUAAAUGCUUCGGCUCAACCGAAGAAAUGCCUUUAAUACGGCGAGUCUUGAGUGCGAGAGAGGAUAGUAGAAUUCCUGGUGUAGCGGUGAAAUGCGUAGAUAUCAGGAGGAAUACCAGUGGCGAAGGCGGCUAUCUGGCUCGUAACUGACGCUGAGGCACGAAAGCGUGGGGAGCAAACAGGAUUAGAAACCCGGGUAGUCC
rnacentral:rRNA from 1 species